CGUGCUCUCAGCUUCUUCUCCUUGUUCUCCUGCUCCUGGAAGGUGAGGGCCAUCAUUUCAACACGUGACAAUAGAGCUGCUUUGUAGGACAUGGUUGAAAUCCUUGAAGAGGGCCUUGUGAUGAACCUGUUAGAAAUUCUGUACUACUGCAAGGAGGCUAACAUAGACUAGAUGGAUCCCAUUCCUGUGCCUGCUCCUCUCCAUUUUAAAAGAGGACCCAAAAUGAGUAGCUCAGAUGUAGACAUCUGUUGUGCAGCUAUUCAAGCUCAGUCUUCCCAUUGUUUCCUUCCACGGAAGGGGCAAAGCACUUCCUGCAGAGCUCAGCAUGGUCUCCUGCCUCUCAGUGAUCUGGGGAAUGCGUGCUCAGAUGGCCAUUUCAGAAGUGACAGGAGCUGGCAAAGAAGAUGCCACGUCCUAACACUUUGUUUCUUUGGCAGUACUGUAGGUUGACCUUAUCUGGAUUCCCAACCAGCUGUGGGGGCAGUAACCUCAGAUGCACCAAACAGCCAAAGCCAGUGCUGCAGAACCUGUCCAAACAGUUUUUCUGCCAGUUGUUCAUGGCACUAUUCUGGUUCUCCUUUUACCAGUAAAUGAGCCCUUAUACAUGAACCAAUUUGUUCACAAACAUAGGCCCAUGGUUAGUGGGCACAGUGACGAUGGAUCAGAUGAUUGUAAUGGUAUUUUCCAACAACAGUGAUUGAUUCUAUAGAUCUUGUGAAGACUAGAAGGUAUGCACUGCACCUUCAUCACCACUUUGCAUAAGAAUACAUCUGAAAUCUGUUUUACCUCUUCGCAGAAUGUUUAUGUUGUCAAUGCCUGAGAAACAUAAACCCUAAACUAUCAGAAAACUAAUUUGGUUGAGUCUGUACCCAUUCAGGUAGGGGGAAAAAAUGAAGAAACUACAGUCAAGGUGAUGAAAGAGAGAGUCAAAAUAAGGUAUUUAAAUUGCAAUUUAUUGCAAAUUAAUAUUAAAAGCAGAUCCAAAAAUCUGUUGUGUGCAGCAACAGUCAACUCUAAUUCUUUCAGCUGAUCUCUCCUUCCCUGUAUUUUUGUUUAGUAAGUAACCCGUCAGCUCUGAUCAGGAGGGGGAUUUGUUUGUGCUGAGGCAACAAACAGCCCCACAGCUAGCAGCCCCACGGGGAGAGAAGUGGCAAGCUGCCAGAGCCCAGCACUCUCUGGCCAGGCCUUUUCAGAUAGUCCACAUGAGGAGGGCUUAAUGUUUCAAUAUGCAUUUUACCUGCUUGAAGGUAUUUGAUGAAACAGAGGAUCUUGAUGUAGCAGAUAAACUUACUGAAAUCACCACUCAAUACUGCAAUUGCAGUACAGAUGAGUGACAGUAAAAACAUGAUUCCCAUUACUGACUUUAUACACUCAUUGUCAGGAUGUCAGGCAUCCUAAUUGCCAGGAAGGAGCAUGUUGCUUGAAGCCAGCUCAAGCCUGUUGCUUUCUUCCAAGUUAAUUUUGCAGAUUGCUUGGCUUCUGCACUCAGUGUUGGGUUGAACCACGUAGCCACUUGGCCCGUGCUGGUCUGGCUGUCCCGUAAAGACAUUCAUGCUCUUCUGGUGAACUCGAGUGAGGCUAUUC